rnacentral:misc_RNA from 1 species
CUCUCUCUCUCUCUCUCUCUCUCUGUGAACUGUGCUUGUGUCUGCAACUGCACUCUUGGAUGAUGGUUCUGCGAAAUCUUAAAGAAGAAAACAAGUGAAAGCUAUAAAAAAAAAUCCCAAACUUAUAUCCACAAUUGGAACGCCCACUAAAGAGAAGGAAAAGAAAAGAAAAAAAGGGGAAAGAUAACAUUUUCCACUUUCCAGAACCAUGGUAUUAAACAACGAGAUAAAGGAAAGCCCUUUAGAUCUUUCUUUUCUUCCCCUCCUCCCAGAUCUCUCACCUUCACAAGACCCUUCAAUAUAUAGAAAACUGAGUUGGGGUUUUUGAGAUGGGUAGCUCUGAUGACCCCAACAACAACUCCAAGGUUAUUGAUGCGUCGGUGGGCGGGUUAGUUUGGGUCCGGCGUCGAAACGGUUCAUGGUGGCCAGGCCGUAUUAUGGGUCUUGACGAAAUUUCGGAGGGUAGUUUGGUUUCGCCAAGAUCAGGCACUCCCGUCAAACUCCUCGGCCGAGAGGAUGCCAGUGUGGACUGGUAUAAUCUUGAAAAAUCUAAGAGGGUGAAAGCUUUUCGAUGUGGGGAAUAUGAUGAAUGUAUUGAGAAGGCCAAGGCAAAUGCAGCAAAUGGUAAUAAGAAAGCAGUGAAAUAUGCGCGGAGGGAAGAUGCCAUUCUUCAUGCCCUUGAAAUUGAGAAUGCUCGCCUGGGGAAGGAC